AGAAGCUUCAGCUUGAAGCUGUCAUCGGCCCUCUGUAUCUGUCUGCCUCCCUUUAUCACUUCCCCCCUCAUUUCUCCACCUCUUCUUAUUUAUCUCCCUCCCUCCCUCUCUCUGUCCCUGACUGUGAUGUGGAUGCAGCGUGUGAGCAGCAGCCAGUGAGCGUGCCUACGUUAGCAGUGUGUGCUGUUGGAAUCCAUGCAGCGGCUGACUGUACUGCCUCUUAAAUAGGAGCAAACAGACUCAUCGCUCGUGACUCUGACACCACUGAGACCAACGCUCCCUCUCCCGGACUGACGGGCCAAUCGCAGGACACCCCUCACUCUCUGUCUCUCUCUCUCUCUCUCCCUCUGAUUCUCUCUCUCGCAUUCAUUCCUUUGCUCUCUAUCUCUCUCUCUGUCUGUAGCUAAGUCUCUCUACCACACCUCGUCCAGAGCAGAGGAACAGAAAGCCCCCUGCCCAGCCCAGGGAUAGCCAGACCGCUGAGAGGAUGAAACUCUGACAAGCCGACAGACCGCAGGGAAACGAGCACAACUGCCCACAGAUAAUUGGUUGAAGAGAGAGUCCAGGAAGGUCAGCCAAGAAAGCAGCCGUAGGUGCCAGCGUGAAAUCUACAGGAACUACAAUUACUUCAACAGUGAGCCGCUGGAACAAGGUGAAUGACAGACGCUGUUUCACACAGAGUGAUGCUGAGACUGGCUUAGGCUUGCAGCACCACUGAAGACUGGUACACGGCACUAGACAAUGACUAUUAGCCCCAAGACCAGCGAACAGUGAUCAACUGACCUCUGAGACAGGGUUCAUUAGUAUCAACAGUGAGUGAAUCACCCAGCUUUGGCCCGUCCGGCGUUACCUGUACAUGGAGACCCCCAGCUGGGC
rnacentral:lncRNA from 1 species